UAUGACCACAUCAUGUUGAAACACUGGUUACCAUAUGAUCAUUAAAGUUAAGCAACAUAGAGCCUGGUCAGUGCCUAGAUGGGUGACCAUUUGGGAAUACCAGGUGUUGUAAG